rnacentral:lncRNA from 1 species
GUACAAGCCGCUCUUAAAGUGGCACCAGCAACUCCUCAGCUUUCUCCGGUCAGGAAGCCAGUGGCUACUCCCGCUACAGAACCACUGCGCCCAUGAGAAUUGGACUCGGCAGGUAGCAAAGUGCUCCUCUUUUGAAAUUAACAGCUGGAGGAAGUAAGGAAAUUUUUGUCUGUUUUAAAUGUAUAAUGUAUGUGGUCACAUCGUGUUUGUUUCUGCCUGCUCUGAAAUGUAGGAGACUACUAUGUUCUGUAUCUUGGUUGUAGUUAUUGGGUAUGGUUGAAAAUCUGUAACAUUUGUAACAAAAAGUUAACUGAAAACUCAUAACUCAGGGUUGGAGCCGUUCUGGGCAGCAACACAUGGCAUGAGCUCAACCAGGGGGACAGGUAUUCAAAGACACUUUUAAAUUGGGACAGGAUUUUUAAAUAAUUUCUACCCUGUCUUAAAAACUAGUUUAAAAAAAAAUAAGUAAGAGGUAAUUAAGUUGCACCUUCAUAUAUUCAUAUACGAUAACUUUUCUUCUGGGCAGCUAAACUUUAUAACAUAAAAGGAAGCCACUUGAUAUUGAUUUUGGAAACAAUAAAUAGCUUAUAUUGUUAAAACUUGUUUUUGCCUUGUAAAAAUUAUGGUUAUACUCUCUGUCUUCACUCUUAAUUAAAGGUGCUUUAUUUUGAUAUUGCAAAAAACAAGACAGUUGAGAGAUUUUAAGCUUCUUUAAAGAAAGCUUUACAGAAAAUUAAAAAAAAACCUGAAAUUUAAAAA